ensembl:snRNA U4 U4 spliceosomal RNA
AGCUUUGCGCAGUGGCAAUAUCGUAGCCAAUGAGGUUUAUCCGAGGCGUGAUUAUUACUAAUUGAAAACCUUUCCUGCCGUGAUGACUUGCAAUGUAGUCUGCUGUGGCAAUUUUUGACAGUCUCUAUGGAGA